UACGGAGGGUGCAAACGUUGCUCGGAAUUAUUGGGCGUAAAGCGCACGUAGGCGGCCGAUUAAGUCGGGUGUGAAAGCCCAGGGCUCAACCCUGGAAGUGCACUCGAAACUGAACGGCUUGAAUAUGGAAGAGGGUCGCGGAAUUCCCGGUGUAGAGGUGAAAUUCGUAGAUAUCAGGAAGAACACCAAUGGCGAAGGCAGCUCUCUGGGACGGUACUGACGCUGAGACGCGAAAGCGUGGGGAGCGAACAGG
rnacentral:rRNA from 1 species